rnacentral:rRNA from 1 species
GAUGAACGCUGGCGGCGUGCCUAAUACAUGCAAGUCGAGCGAACAGACGAGGAGCUUGCUCCUCUGACGUUAGCGGCGGACGGGUGAGUAACACGUGGAUAACCUACCUAUAAGACUGGGAUAACUUCGGGAAACCGGAGCUAAUACCGGAUAAUAUAUUGAACCGCAUGGUUCAAUAGUGAAAGACGGUUUUGCUGUCACUUAUAGAUGGAUCCGCGCCGCAUUAGCUAGUUGGUAAGGUAACGGCUUACCAAGGCAACGAUGCGUAGCCGACCUGAGAGGGUGAUCGCCCACACUGGAACUGAGACACGGUCCAGACUCCUACGGGAGGCAGCAGUAGGGAAUCUUCCGCAAUGGGCGAAAGCCUGGCGGAGCAACGCCGCGUGAGUGAUGAAGGUCUUCGGAUCGUAAAACUCUGUUAUUGGGGAAGAACAAAUGUGUAAGUAACUAUGCACGUCUUGACGGUACCUAGUCAGAAAGCCACGGCUAACUACGUG